rnacentral:rRNA from 1 species
UGGGUAGCAAACAGGAUUAGAUACCCUGGUAGUCCACGCCGUAAACGAUGUCGACCAGCCGUUGGGUGCCUAGCGCACUUUGUGGCGAAGUUAACGCGAUAAGUCGACCGCCUGGGGAGUACGGCCGCAAGGUUAAAACUCAAAUGAAUUGACGGGGGCCCGCACAAGCGGUGGAGCAUGUGGUUUAAUUCGAUGCAACGCGAAGAACCUUACCUACUCUUGACAUCCUGCGAAUUUGGUAGAGAUACCUUAGUGCCUUCGGGAACGCAGAGACAGGUGCUGCAUGGCUGUCGUCAGCUCGUGUUGUGAAAUGUUGGGUUAAGUCCCGUAACGAGCGCAACCCUUGUCCUUAUUUGCCAGCGCGUAAUGGCGGGAACUCUAAGGAGACUGCCGGUGACAAACCGGAGGAAGGUGGGGACGACGUCAAGUCAUCAUGGCCCUUACGAGUAGGGCUACACACGUGCUACAAUGGUCGGUACAAAGGGUUGCCAACUCGCGAGAGUGAGCCAAUCCCGAAAAGCCGAUCUCAGUCCGGAUCGGAGUCUGCAACUCGACUCCGUGAAGUCGGAAUCGCUAGUAAUCGUGGAUCAGAAUGCCACGGUGAAUACGUUCCCGGGCCUUGUACACACCGCCCGUCACACCAUGGGAGUGGACUGCACCAGAAGUGGUUAGCCUAACGCAAGAGGGCGAUCACCACGGUGUGGUUCAUGACUGGGGUG